rnacentral:tRNA from 2 species
GCCCUUGUAGCUCAACGGAUAGAGCAGACCCGUCCUAAGGGUAAGAUGGCAGUUCAAUUCCGCCCAGGGGCACAA